GGAGAGAUGCCAGAGUGGUCGAUUGGGGCAGUCUCGAAAACUGUUGUGCGCUUUUGCGUACCGUGGGUUCGAAUCCCACUCUCUCCGCCA
rnacentral:tRNA from 1 species